AAAGAACGGCGCUUCUUCUAGGCGAAGAGUCAUGAAGCCGCAAGCGUUAGCUUUCAUCAUCGUUUGUUCAGUUGUGGCUGGAGCAGCCGGGCAAGGCAUGGGUGACAUAUAUAGCAUAGCAAUGGCGCCUGUGGUUGAUGCAACUAUUACUCGACCAGACUUGGUAACAGGUGGAACAAGCUCGAGAAAAUGCGACCAGUGUUCUUGCAAACUCUCCUGGGAAUUGACAAAAUAUCGCGGCGAGACCUGUAAAAAAGAGUUUGAAUUCACUUGCACUUGCAACGCUUACACCUGCGAGAAAAAAGAGAUCGAGAAAUGCAUGGCGAAGACGGCUACCUAUUUUUGAAAUAUAGACCAUUCGCAAGCCUGUUCAUGUUUCGACGUUUAAUAAAUGCCUAUUUGAUCACCCUGUU